rnacentral:lncRNA from 13 species
AUGAGAGCUCUCUCUCUCUGUGUGUGUCUUUCUCUCUCUCUUUCUCUCCCUCUUUUUCUAUCUCCCUCCCUCCCCUCGCUUCCUUCCUCCCUUCCUUCCUCGCUUCCUCCCUUCCUCCCUCCUCCAGUGUGGCCAGUAGAUGAACUCCCAAGUCCAGGUCCAACAGCAGACCCAGAGGAACAGAGAGAGUCUGUUUACCUUUCAAUGCAGCCUGCUGAGGGGGGAUGGCUGGGACAGUGGACCAUGGCCCUCCUGAUGAGGACAUGUCUCCCACAGCAGCCUGCUGAAGGAGGACAGCUGGGACAGUGGACCAUGGCCCUCCUGAUGAGGACAUGUCUCCCACAGCAGCCUGCUGAGGGGGACGGCUGGGACAGUGGACCAUGGCCCUCCUGAUGAGGACAUGUCUCCCACAGCAGCCUGCUGAGGGAGGACGGCUGGGACAGUGGACCAUGGCCCUCCCGAUGAGGACAUGUCUCCCACAGCAGCCUGCUGAGGGAGGACGGCUUAUAAUAAGGAUGCCAUUCCACUGAUUCCACUCCAGUCAUUACCACGAGCCCGUUCUCCCCUAUUAAGGUGCCACCAACCUCCUGUGAUGUCUAUGGCAUCCAGGCUAGCUCUAUCCUCAGGAAGAGGGCUGCUGUUGUCAAGUGUGGUUUACUGCACUAUGAAGAGAGUUACAUACUGGACUGUAAAAACAAUCACAAGUCAGACAGUUACAGCNNNNNNNNNNUCGGUGGUCAGUAGGCGUUAUGCUGCUUUAAGGCUUUAUAUGAACGGUGAAACUGAAAGCUCAGAAAGAAUAAAAAAUAGCUUGUAUACAGUGCAGCAUCUUAAUACUGCUUUCUGUUGGUGAAGCAUGUGUGGGGGAUGACAGUAGCUUGAAUAGAGUGCAGCAACAUAACAGUGUUUUCUGUUGGUGAAGCAUGUGUGGGGGAUGACAGUAGCUUGUAUACAGUGCAGCAUCUUAAUACUGUUUUCUGUUGGUGAAGCAGGUGUGGGGGAUGACAGUAGCUUGAAUAGAGUGCAGCAACAUAACAGUGUUUUCUGUUGGUGAAGCAGGUGUGGGGGAUGACAGU